GACGAACGCUGGCGGCGUGCUUAACACAUGCAAGUCGAGCGGUAAGGCCCUUUCGGGGGUACGACGAGCGGCGAACGGGUGAGUAACACGUGGGUGACCUGCCCUCAGCUCUGGGAUAAGCCUGGGAAACCGGGGUCUAAUACUGGAUAUGACUCCAUGGCGCAUGUUGUGGGGUGGAAAGCCUUGUGCGGCUGAGGAUGGGCCCGCGGCCUAUCAGCUUGUUGGUGGGGUGAUGGCCUACCAAGGCGACGACGGGUAGCCGGCCUGAGAGGGCGACCGGCCACACUGGGACUGAGACACGGCCCAGACUCCUACGGGAGGCAGCAGUGGGGAAUCUUGCGCAAUGGGCGAAAGCCUGACGCAGCGACGCCGCGUGAGGGAUGAC
rnacentral:rRNA from 1 species